rnacentral:rRNA from 1 species
CCUACGGGAGGCAGCAGUGAGGAAUAUUGGUCAAUGGACGAGAGUCUGAACCAGCCAAGUAGCGUGAAGGAUGACUGCCCUAUGGGUUGUAAACUUCUUUUAUAAAGGAAUAAAACGAGGCACGUGUGCCUUUUUGCAUGUACUUUAUGAAUAAGCAUCGGCUAACUCCGUGCCAGCAGCCGCGGUAAUACGGAGGAUCCGAGCGUUAUCCGGAUUUAUUGGGUUUAAAGGGAGCGUAGAUGGGUUGUUAAGUCAGUUGUGAAAGUUUGCGGCUCAACCGUAAAAUUGCAAUUGAUACUGGCAGUCUAGAGUACAGUUGAGGUAGGCGGAAUACGUGGUGUAGCGGUGAAAUGCUUAGAUAUCACGAAGAACCCCGAUUGCGAAGGCAGCUUACUAAACUGUGACUGACAUUGAUGCUCGAGAGUGUGGGUAUCAAACAGGAUUAGAUACCCCUGUAGUC